CGUUCACCCCAGAAUCAGUCACUUCAGAUCCAAUGGAAACUCCAGCACCUUCCAUUGACGUCUUCUCUGAUGACAUGGUUCCCAAUGACAGUAUGGAACAGGUAUUAGACAGCAUUCUGAAGAAUCUUGAGGACUA